rnacentral:rRNA from 1 species
CACGUAGGGCGCAAGCGUUGUCCGGAAUUAUUGGGCGUAAAGAGCUCGUAGGUGGUUUGUUACGUCUGCUGUGAAAACCUAGGGCUUAACCCUGGGCUUGCAGUGGAUACGGGCAGACUAGAGGUAGGUAGGGGAGACUGGAAUUCCUGGUGUAGCGGUGAAAUGCGCAGAUAUCAGGAGGAACACCGAUGGCGAAGGCAGGUCUCUGGGCAUUAACUGACGCUGAGGAGCGAAAGCAUGGGGAGCGAACAGG